UGCGGAAUGCGUGGAUCGAACACGCGACCUCCGGAUUAUGAGACCGACGCUCUACCUACUGAGCUAACUCCGC
rnacentral:tRNA from 1 species